GAUGAACGCUGGCGGCGUGCCUAAUACAUGCAAGUCGAGCGAACAGACGAGGAGCUUGCUCCUCUCACGUUAGCGGCGGACGGGUGAGUAACGCGUGUAUAACCCACCUAUAAGUCUGGGAUCAUUUCGGGAAACCGGCGCUAAUCCCGUAGAAUAUAUUGAACCGCGUGGUUCAAUGGUGAGAGACGGUUUUGGUGUCUGUUAUAGAUGGUUCCGCGCCGGAUUGGCUGGUUGGGAAGGUAACGGCUUACCACGGCAACGAUGCGUAGCCGAGCUCAGAGAGUGAUCGGCCACAUUGGAGCUGAGACGCGGACCAGACUCCUACGAGAGGCAGCAGUCGGGAACCGGCGGCAAUGGGCGAAAGCCUGACGGAGCGACGCGGAGUGAGUGAUGAAGGUCUCCGGAUCGUGAAACUCUGUUAUUAGUGAAGAACAAAUGUGUAAGUAACUAUGCACGUCUUGACGGUAACGAAUCAGAAAGCCACGGCUAACUACGUG
rnacentral:rRNA from 1 species